rnacentral:rRNA from 1 species
GACGAACGCUGGCGGCGUGCUUAACACAUGCAAGUCGAACGGAAAGGCCCUGCUUUUGUGGGGUGCUCGAGUGGCGAACGGGUGAGUAACACGUGAGUAACCUGCCCUUGACUUUGGGAUAACUUCAGGAAACUGGGGCUAAUACCGGAUAGGAGCUCCUGCUGCAUGGUGGGGGUUGGAAAGUUUCGGCGGUUGGGGAUGGACUCGCGGCUUAUCAGCUUGUUGGUGGGGUAGUGGCUUACCAAGGCUUUGACGGGUAGCCGGCCUGAGAGGGUGACCGGCCACAUUGGGACUGAGAUACGGCCCAGACUCCUACGGGAGGCAGCAGUGGGGAAUAUUGCACAAUGGGCGGAAGCCUGAUGCAGCAACGCCGCGUGCGGGAUGACGGCCUUCGGGUUGUAAACCGCUUUCGCCUGUGACGAAGCGUGAGUGACGGUAAUGGGUAAAGAAGCACCGGCUAACUACGUGCCAGCAGCCGCGGUGAUACGUAGGGUGCGAGCGUUGUCCGGAUUUAUUGGGCGUAAGGGCUCGUAGGUGGUUGAUCGCGUCGGAAGUGUAAUCUUGGGGCUUAACCCUGAGCGUGCUUUCGAUACGGGUUGACUUGAGGAAGGUAGGGGAGAAUGGAAUUCCUGGUGGAGCGGUGGAAUGCGCAGAUAUCAGGAGGAACACCAGUGGCGAAGGCGGUUCUCUGGGCCUUUCCUGACGCUGAGGAGCGAAAGCGUGGGGAGCGAACAGGCUUAGAUACCCUGGUAGUCCACGCUGUAAACGGUGGGUACUAGGUGUGGGGUCCAUUCCACGGGUUCCGUGCCGUAGCUAACGCUUUAAGUACCCCGCCUGGGGAGUACGGCCGCAAGGCUAAAACUCAAAGGAAUUGACGGGGCCCCGCACAAGCGGCGGAGCAUGCGGAUUAAUUCGAUGCAACGCGUAGAACCUUACCUGGGUUUGACAUGGAUCGGGAGUGCUCAGAGAUGGGUGUGCCUCUUUUGGGGUCGGUUCACAGGUGGUGCAUGCCUGUCGUCAGCUCGUGUCGUGAGAUGUUGGGUUAAGUCCCGCAACGAGCGCAACCCUUGUUCACUGUUGCCAGCACGUUAUGGUGGGGACUCAGUGGAGACCGCCGGGGUCAACUCGGAGGAAGGUGGGGAUGACGUCAAGUCAUCAUGCCCCUUAUGUCCAGGGCUUCACGCAUGCUACAAUGGCUGGUACAGAGAGUGGCGAGCCUGUGAGGGUGAGCGAAUCUCGGAAAGCCGGUCUCAGUUCGGAUUGGGGUCUGCAACUCGACCUCAUGAAGUCGGAGUCGCUAGUAAUCGCAGAUCAGCAACGCUGCGGUGAAUACGUUCCCGGG